UGUGUAGGCGGUUGCUUAAGUUUGGUGUGAAAUCUCCCGGCUCAACUGGGAGGGUGCGCCGAAUACUGAGUGACUCGAGUGCGGGAGAGGAAAGUGGAAUUCCUGGUGUAGCGGUGAAAUGCGUAGAUAUCAGGAGGAACACCGGUGGUGUAGACGGCUUUCUGGACCGUAACUGACGCUGAGACACGAAAGCGUGGGUAGCAAACAGGAUUAGAUACCCUGGUAGUCCACGCCCUAAACGAUGCACAUUUGGUGUGAGUCAUUCAGUUGAUUCGUGCCGGAGCUAACGCGUUAAAUGUGCCGCCUGGGGAGUACAGUCGCAAGGCUGAA
rnacentral:rRNA from 1 species